ensembl:rRNA 5S_rRNA 5S ribosomal RNA
GCAUACGGCCACACCACCUUGAGCACGCCUGAUCUCAUCUGAUCUUGGAAGCUCAGCAGGGCUGGGCUUGGUUAGUACAUGGAUGGGAGACCGCCUGGGACCACCAGGUGGUGUGAGCU